AGAGUUUGAUCAUGGCUCAGAUUGAACGCUGGCGGCAGGCCUAACACAUGCAAGUCGAGCGGUAACACAAGGGAGCUUGCUCCUGAGGUGACGAGCGGCGGACGGGUGAGUAAUGCCUAGAUAUCUGCCUAGUCGUGGGGGAUAACAGUUGGAAAUGCCUGCUAAUACCGCAUAGGCCCUACGGGGGAAAGGAGGGGACCUUCCGGCCUUCCGCGAUUAGAUGAGUCUAGGUGGGAUUAGCAUGUUGGUGAGGUAAGAGCUCACCAAGGCGACGAUCCCUAGCUGGUCUGAGAGGAUGAUCAGCCACACUGGGACUGAGACACGGCCCAGACUCCUACGGGAGGCAGCAGUGGGGAAUAUUGCACAAUGGGCGAAAGCCUGAUGCAGCCAUGCCGCGUGUGUGAAGAAGGCCUUCGGGUUGUAAAGCACUUUCAGUUGGGAGGAAAGGUUAAUGGUUAAUAUCCAUUAGCUGUGACGUUACCAACAGAAGAAGCACCGGCUAACUUCGUGCCAGCAGCCGCGGUAAUACGAGGGGUGCAAGCGUUAAUCGGAAUUACUGGGCGUAAAGCGUACGCAGGCGGUUGGUUAAGCGAGAUGUGAGAUCCCCGGGCUCAACCUGGGAACUGCAUUUCGAACUGGCCAACUAGAGUAUGAGAGAGGGUGGUAGAAUUUCAGGUGUAGCGGUGAAAUCCGUAGAGAUCUGAAGGAAUACCAGUGGCGAAGGCGGCCUUCUGGACAGAUACUGACACUCAGAUGCGAAAGCGUGGGUAGCAAACAGGAUUAGAGACCCUGGUAGUCCACGCUGUAAACGAUGUCUACUUGGAGGUUGUGGCCUUGAGCCGUGGCUUUCGGAGCUAACGCGUUAAGUAGACCGCCUGGGGCGUACGGUCGCAAGAUUAAAACUCAAAUGAAUUGACGGGGGCCCGCACAAGCGGUGGAGCAUGUGGUUUAAUUCGAUGCAACGCGAAGAACCUUACCUACUCUUGACAUCCAGAGAAUUCGCUAGAGAUAGCUUAGUGCCUUCGGGAACUUUGAGACAGGUGCUGCAUGGCUGUCGUCAGCUCGUGUUGUGAAAUGUUGGGUUAAGUCCCGCAACGAGCGCAACCCUUAUCCUUAUUUGCCAGCACGUAAUGUCGGGAACUUUGAGGAGACUGCCGGUGAUAAACCGGAGGAAGGUGGGGACGACGUCAAGUCAUCAUGGCCCUUAUGGCUAGGGCUACACACGUGCUACAAUGGUCGGUACAGAGGGUUGCAAAGCCGCGAGGUGGAGCUAAUCUCACAAAGCCGGUCGUAGUCCGGAUCGGAGUCUGCAACUCGACUCCGUGAAGUCGGAAUCGCUAGUAAUCGUGGAUCAGAAUGCCACGGUGAAUACGUUCCCGGGCCUUGUACACACCGCCCGUCACACCAUGGGAGUUGGCUGCACCAGAAGUAGGUAGCUUAACCCUUCGGGGAGGGCGCUUACCACGGUGUGGUCAAUGACUGGGGUGAAGUCGUAACAAGGUAGCCCUAGGGGAACCUGGGGCUGGAUCACCUCCUU
rnacentral:rRNA from 1 species